rnacentral:rRNA from 1 species
GGUUAAGCGACUAAGCGUACACGGUGGAUGCCCUGGCAGUCAGAGGCGAUGAAGGACGUGCUAAUCUGCGAUAAGCGUCGGUAAGGUGAUAUGAACCGUUAUAACCGGCGAUUUCCGAAUGGGGAAACCCAGUGUGUUUCGACACACUAUCAUUAACUGAAUCCAUAGGUUAAUGAGGCGAACCGGGGGAACUGAAACAUCUAAGUACCCCGAGGAAAAGAAAUCAACCGAGAUUCCCCCAGUAGCGGCGAGCGAACGGGGAGCAGCCCAGAGCCUGAAUCAGUGUGUGUGUUAGUGGAAGCGUCUGGAAAGGCGCGCGAUACAGGGUGACAGCCCCGUACACAAAAAUGCACAUGCUGUGAGCUCGAUGAGUAGGGCGGGACACGUGGUAUCCUGUCUGAAUAUGGGGGGACCAUCCUCCAAGGCUAAAUACUCCUGACUGACCGAUAGUGAACCAGUACCGUGAGGGAAAGGCGAAAAGAACCCCGGCGAGGGGAGUGAAAAAGAACCUGAAACCGUGUACGUACAAGCAGUGGGAGCCUCUUUAUGGGGUGACUGCGUACCUUUUGUAUAAUGGGUCAGCGACUUAUAUUCUGUAGCAAGGUUAACCGAAUAGGGGAGCCGAAGGGAAACCGAGUCUUAACUGGGCGUUAAGUUGCAGGGUAUAGACCCGAAACCCGGUGAUCUAGCCAUGGGCAGGUUGAAGGUUGGGUAACACUAACUGGAGGACCGAACCGACUAAUGUUGAAAAAUUAGCGGAUGACUUGUGGCUGGGGGUGAAAGGCCAAUCAAACCGGGAGAUAGCUGGUUCUCCCCGAAAGCUAUUUAGGUAGCGCCUCGUGAACUCAUCUCCGGGGGUAGAGCACUGUUUCGGCAAGGGGGUCAUCCCGACUUACCAACCCGAUGCAAACUGCGAAUACCGGAGAAUGUUAUCACGGGAGACACACGGCGGGUGCUAACGUCCGUCGUGAAGAGGGAAACAACCCAGACCGCCAGCUAAGGUCCCAAAGUCAUGGUUAAGUGGGAAACGAUGUGGGAAGGCCCAGACAGCCAGGAUGUUGGCUUAGAAGCAGCCAUCAUUUAAAGAAAGCGUAAUAGCUCACUGGUCGAGUCGGCCUGCGCGGAAGAUGUAACGGGGCUAAACCAUGCACCGAAGCUGCGGCAGCGACGCUUAUGCGUUGUUGGGUAGGGGAGCGUUCUGUAAGCCUGCGAAGGUGUACUGUGAGGUAUGCUGGAGGUAUCAGAAGUGCGAAUGCUGACAUAAGUAACGAUAAAGCGGGUGAAAAGCCCGCUCGCCGGAAGACCAAGGGUUCCUGUCCAACGUUAAUCGGGGCAGGGUGAGUCGACCCCUAAGGCGAGGCCGAAAGGCGUAGUCGAUGGGAAACAGGUUAAUAUUCCUGUACUUGGUGUUACUGCGAAGGGGGGACGGAGAAGGCUAUGUUGGCCGGGCGACGGUUGUCCCGGUUUAAGCGUGUAGGCUGGUUUUCCAGGCAAAUCCGGAAAAUCAAGGCUGAGGCGUGAUGACGAGGCACUACGGUGCUGAAGCAACAAAUGCCCUGCUUCCAGGAAAAGCCUCUAAGCAUCAGGUAACAUCAAAUCGUACCCCAAACCGACACAGGUGGUCAGGUAGAGAAUACCAAGGCGCUUGAGAGAACUCGGGUGAAGGAACUAGGCAAAAUGGUGCCGUAACUUCGGGAGAAGGCACGCUGAUACGUAGGUGAAGUCCCUUGCGGAUGGAGCUGAAAUCAGUCGAAGAUACCAGCUGGCUGCAACUGUUUAUUAAAAACACAGCACUGUGCAAACACGAAAGUGGACGUAUACGGUGUGACGCCUGCCCGGUGCCGGAAGGUUAAUUGAUGGGGUUAGCGGUAACGCGAAGCUCUUGAUCGAAGCCCCGGUAAACGGCGGCCGUAACUAUAACGGUCCUAAGGUAGCGAAAUUCCUUGUCGGGUAAGUUCCGACCUGCACGAAUGGCGUAAUGAUGGCCAGGCUGUCUCCACCCGAGACUCAGUGAAAUUGAACUCGCUGUGAAGAUGCAGUGUACCCGCGGCAAGACGGAAAGACCCCGUGAACCUUUACUAUAGCUUGACACUGAACAUUGAGCCUUGAUGUGUAGGAUAGGUGGGAGGCUUUGAAGUGUGGACGCCAGUCUGCAUGGAGCCGACCUUGAAAUACCACCCUUUAAUGUUUGAUGUUCUAACGUUGGCCCCUAAUCGGGGUUGCGGACAGUGUCUGGUGGGUAGUUUGACUGGGGCGGUCUCCUCCUAAAGAGUAACGGAGGAGCACGAAGGUUGGCUAAUCCUGGUCGGACAUCAGGAGGUUAGUGCAAUGGCAUAAGCCAGCUUGACUGCGAGCGUGACGGCGCGAGCAGGUGCGAAAGCAGGUCAUAGUGAUCCGGUGGUUCUGAAUGGAAGGGCCAUCGCUCAACGGAUAAAAGGUACUCCGGGGAUAACAGGCUGAUACCGCCCAAGAGUUCAUAUCGACGGCGGUGUUUGGCACCUCGAUGUCGGCUCAUCACAUCCUGGGGCUGAAGUAGGUCCCAAGGGUAUGGCUGUUCGCCAUUUAAAGUGGUACGCGAGCUGGGUUUAGAACGUCGUGAGACAGUUCGGUCCCUAUCUGCCGUGGGCGCUGGAGAACUGAGGGGGGCUGCUCCUAGUACGAGAGGACCGGAGUGGACGCAUCACUGGUGUUCGGGUUGUCAUGCCAAUGGCACUGCCCGGUAGCUAAAUGCGGAAGAGAUAAGUGCUGAAAGCAUCUAAGCACGAAACUUGCCCCGAGAUGAGUUCUCCCUGACUCCUUGAGAGUCCUGAAGGAACGUUGAAGACGACGACGUUGAUAGGCCGGGUGUGUAAGCGCAGCGAUGCGUUGAGCUAACCGGUACUAAUGAACCGUGAGGCUUAACCUU